rnacentral:ribozyme from 1 species
UGCCCAGCAACUCCUAUCCCUACCUCCACGCGGUACCGGCCGAUAACUAUGAGCAACCUUAGGGAAGAUCGGGUAACCAACCCCGGUGGGAACUUUGGUCGUAGGCUGACAGGGAAGG